GAUGAACGCUGGCGGCAUGCCUAACACAUGCCAGUCGAGCGGCAAUACGGGGAGCUUGCUCCUCUGCCGUUAGCGGCGGCCGGGUGAGUUAAACGUGGAUAACAAACUCAUAAGUCUUGGAUAAAUUCGUGAAACCGCUUCUGAUACCGGUUAAUAUAUUGAACGGCAUUGGUCAAUGGUUAAUGAUGGAUUUGCUGAUACUAGUAGCUGGAUUCACGACGGAUUGGCUGGUGGGUAGGGUAACGGCUAAACAAGGCGACGAUGCGUAGCUGACCUGAGAGGGUUGUCCGCCACACUGGAACUGAGACACGAUCCAGACUCCUACGGGAGGCAGCAGUAGGGAAUCUUGGACAAUGGGCGAAAGCUUGAGGGAGCAAGGCCGCGUGAGUGAAGAAGGUCUUCGGAUAGUAAAGCCCUGUUAUUGGGGAAGAAAAGCUGGGUGUGAAGUCACGGACGUUUUGACGGUACCUAAUUAAUAAGCCACGGCUAACUUCGUG
rnacentral:rRNA from 1 species